ACGGAAGGCAGCAGUUGGGAAUAUUGCGCAAUGGGGGCAACCCUGACGCAGCAACGCCGCGUGAAGGAAGACGGUUUUCGGAUUGUAAACUUCUUUUAUUGAGGACGAAGACAAUGACGGUACUCAAUGAAUAAGCUCCGGCUAACUACGUGCCAGCAGCCGCGGUAAUACGUAGGGAGCAAGCGUUGUCCGGAAUUACUGGGUGUAAAGGGCGAGUAGGCGGACUCAACAGUCAGGUGUGAAAUACCGGGGCUUAACCCCGGGGCUGCAUUUGAAACUAUGAGUCUUGAGAGAUGGAGAGGUAAGCGGAAUUCCUAGUGUAGCGGUGAAAUGCGUAGAUAUUAGGAGGAACACCAGUGGCGAAGGCGGCUUACUGGACAUCUACUGACGCUGAGGAGCGAAAGCGUGGGGAGCAAACAGGAUUAGAUACCCUGGUA
rnacentral:rRNA from 1 species